GUGACAUUGUAGCUCUGAACUUCCUAAUGUUACUUUUUUCUAUAAAAAGGCUGAAGGCAGAACAGUGUGAAGCUAGAUAAUCUUAACCAUUGGUACGGCUGGAGUUCCUUUUGGCAAUAGUAAAGAAGAUUGUGUGGGGCGGCUGCAGAUACAAAUGAGGGCAAGAUCUGACUCUACAAUUUGAACUUGUUUAAUAAUUCUGUUGGUGAUGUGUGAACAAGAAUAGAAUCCAGCUGCAUCCCCCACGGCAAUGUUGGCUCUGCGGUAGCAACAGAGGAAUAUCAUCACGGCAUCGUUCACCAAAUUCAUUGACCUUUAACAAGACCUCUUUUCAAGACCCAGGAGUCAUUAGUUCGAGACUGAAGAAUGCUCCAUUAUACCUGGACUUAUUUUUUUAAAUGAUCAAAAACCCCAUUUUGCUCCACUUCUUUUAUUUUCCUGCCUUUUAUUUAACAACUUUAUCAUAUUUUGAAUUCAGCUUCAUCCUACAGUAUUGUGGAAAAAUAAUGAACUCAAUCUUCUGCCUAAUAAAUCAUUAUCAGAAAUAUAUGUGUGUCCUAACAAAGCAAUCCAGUAGUUCACUAUGAGAGCUUUUGUACCACUCAUGGUAUUGCAGUAAAAAAAAAAAACCCUAAUGUGUCUAUAGGAAAGACAAUUUUAUCUGCCCCUAUUACUGUUCUCCUUUGUUACUUAUACACUGCUAGAUUAAAAGGGAUUAUUCUGCAUCUGAGUAAUGUCUGUAAGUGUUGAUCAUACAGACUUUUAUUUUGAAAUGAGAAGCAACAGAAUAUGCCAAACUGUUGCAAUGUAACUAUAAUUAAUUCCUAUAUUUAUUGAUGGAAUUACUAUGCCAAGGAAGGCGUAUUUCUCAUAAUCCUCUCUUUUCCCCUUUCCUAGUCCUUUUUACAUUAUUUUUCCACUUAUGCCCGAUGAGUAAUUUAUAUCGCCAUUUAUGUCACUGCUGAAUUUGGCCCAGAGUUUCAUGGCAGUUGCACAUGCUUACACACUAGGCUGUCUCCAACUGAAUUUGGCCUUCUCUCUUUUAUAAUCAUGCAAAGGCAGAAUCAAAGGCAAUUGCAGUCAAAGCUGUCAAACAAACACAUAAAACUAAAACUACUACAUAUGUCUUGUCCUGUGUUUGUACAGCACCUUGU